GACUCAGCCUUCCAUCCUCUCGGGGUAGGUAAACUGAGGACCCAAGAUUGUUGGGGGCAAUAAGCUGGCUUUGUAAAAAUGCCGCUUAGUAAUAAUAAGCAGGCAUAUACAAUGGAAGGAAGGCUAUCGCUGAGCGCAUUGGAUUGUGCUCCAAAAAUUGUAAGCGGCCUGAGUCUCCGGAGAAGGGCAGCAUAUAAAUAUGAAUUAAAAAACUGCUCUACACUCUGCAGUGGCCACAAGGGCUUUGCCCCCCACCCUCCCCCAAUUUGUUUUCUGGGGUUCUUGGUCAGCAGUGCUGGGAAGGUCCCCCGUCAGCCAUAGGAGGGAAUUCCGGAGGAAGACCGUCUCUCAAGCAGAAGCUUCUGGAUUUUGCUCCUGCUGUUUUUUAAAUCACUUCUGCCUGCAGGCUGUGUCAUCGCCCUUGGCUUUCUUCUUGCAGUGACAGAGAUGCUCCUGGGGGAACCCCUUGGUGGCUGGCUUCCAGGAUGACCUGGACCUUGAUGAGCGUCUCUUCAGCAAGCCCCCGCCAGCGGCAGAGCUGGUCCCGAGCAAAAACGUGAACCUGUCGAGCGAGGAAGAAGAGUCCUCCAAGCUCUCCGUCAUGGGGGCUGAAGAUGCUGGCUUAGAACAAGAAAAAAAACGAGCUUCCAAAAAGCCCUCGAAACUCCCGGAACCCUCGGCCCUUCCCACAUCCUCCACUGAGCUGAAAUCUCCCGCUGGCCAGCCUCCACUUGUGCAAAGCAAGCGCCCGAUGGCAGCCGGCGGCCCUGAGGCCCGCCCGCCCGCAGCGCCCUCUGCCUCCAAGCAGCAGGAGUCCGAGAGCGACUCGGAGGGGCCCUUCGCUGUGCAGAUGCUCUCCUUUGUGAUGGACGAUCCGGACUUCGAAAGCGAGGAGUCUGAGAGCCAGAGGAAGCGGCCAGAGGAGUUUCCAGUGCGAGAGGAUCUCUCGGACUCCGAGGAGGAUCCCCCUUCCAGACUCCCCAGCUGCCCAAGCCUGCGAUCCGCUCCUUCAGAGUGAAGAAUGAGGCCGAUCUCUUUGGGUUGGGGCUGGAUACAGCGGUGGGCAGAGACAGCAGCGAGGAAGGUGAGGGGCCUUGGCCACAAUCGCACCCUGAGACCAGACUCUGCCUUGCAGAGAAGGCUGCGUGCCAUGGAGCUUUCCCCCAGCUGUGCAUUACCAUAAAGGCACCUUCUCCCCAGUAAACGUGGUAUCAGCGGGAGGCUUUUCAUGCUGCCACAGGUGGUUCUCUUUGUCAAGCCUUUCUCUGCUACCAUUCUCAAAGGCUUGGAAAAAACCUCUUGCCAGGGAGUAAAAAUUCUUCCAAAACAUCCCUGCUAAUUAGAGGUGAUAGACCGUGUUCUUCUUUGCUGUCAAUGAUGAUAAAAAUGAGACCCAGAAAGUAAUCUAAAAACAUUCUUAUUUAUAAAAUAAAUAAACGUACACGGAGCUACAUGUUUGCAACCUAAUCUCCACCAAGGCAUAUAGAAAAAGAAGAAAGGAAUAUUAAGAACGGAAGUUACAGGAAGUGAAGUAAAACUUUUUAUACAUGAGCAGUAAAUCAAAACAUCACAAGACUUUCUUAUCUCAUUACUAUGGAGACAAGAUAACACAGUGCUGGCUAGCAGACACCUGCUUACUAGAAUAUGAGCUUAGGAGCUUGAACAGACAAACCCCAAAAAAACCCCCGCAGUGACACUCUUGUCCCGCUGGAAGCUCACCCUCCUUUUUCAUGCCCUUCUGCUCACAGCUGCAGAUAAGGAGAAGCAGACUUUGAAGGAGAAAAAGAAGAAAAAGAAGAGAACUAGCAAAGAGGUGGGUCAGUGUGGAGCUGUGCUUGGACAAGGGCAAGAAAUGUUUCUGAGCUAAGGCCCCAAAGGGGACCGUGACUGUGGCCAGGGUGGGCUCCAUGCCAGCCAAACAGGUCCCCAGGCAUUGCUCCGAGCAGCCCACCCAAAAGGCCCCCUUUGGAGCCUUCGGCUGUGCUCCUCCGCAGGGCCCUUGCCCCAAGGGGAGGCGGCUUCUCUGCCUGCAAGCUCGGCGGGGCUGGCGGCUUUGGGCCUCUCCAGGGGCUGCUUGGGGAGGUAUCCCCCUGCUUCAUCCUUUCUCCCCAUCUGCUUUUCCAGGAAGAACCGGAGAAGGUUUCAGGAAGGAAAAAGAGCAAGCCCAAAAAGGAGGACGAGGACAGAGGAGAAAAGGGGAAGAAGAAGCCGUCCAAGCAGCAGCACCC
rnacentral:lncRNA from 1 species